rnacentral:rRNA from 1 species
UACGGAGGGGGCUAGCGUUGUUCGGAAUUACUGGGCGUAAAGCGCACGUAGGCGGAUCAGCAAGUUAGGGGUGAAAUCCCGGGGCUCAACCCCGGAACUGCCUUUAAAACUGCAGGUCUAGAGUUCGAGAGAGGUGAGUGGAAUUCCGAGUGUAGAGGUGAAAUUCGUAGAUAUUCGGAGGAACACCAGUGGCGAAGGCGGCUCACUGGCUCGAUACUGACGCUGAGGUGCGAAAGCGUGGGGAGCAAACAGGAUUAGAAACCCCAGUAGUCC